rnacentral:rRNA from 1 species
UAAGGAGUUUGUUCAACUUUUAAAUUCCUACAUGAUCUGAGUUCAGACCGGCGUAAGCCAGGUUGGUUUCUAUCUUUAUUUUAAAAUAUUUUUAAUUAGUACGAAAGGAAUAUUAAAAAAUAAUAAUUUAUUAUUAAUUAUUUUUAUUUAAAAAAUAUUAU